rnacentral:rRNA from 1 species
UACGUAGGGUGCAAGCGUUGUCCGGAAUUAUUGGGCGUAAAGAGCUCGUAGGCGGUUUGUCGCGUCUGCUGUGAAAACUGGAGGCUCAACCUCCAGCCUGCAGUGGGUACGGGCAGGCUAGAGUGCGGUAGGGGAGAUUGGAAUUCCUGGUGUAGCGGUGGAAUGCGCAGAUAUCAGGAGGAACACCGAUGGCGAAGGCAGAUCUCUGGGCCGUAACUGACGCUGAGGAGCGAAAGCAUGGGGAGCGAACAGG